UGGGGAAUCUUGCGCAAUGGGCGAAAGCCUGACGCAGCGACGCCGCGUGUGCGAUGAAGGUCUUCGGAUCGUAAAGCACUGUCGCGAGGGAAAAAACCGAAAGGGUGAUGGUACCUCGAGAGGAAGCACCGGCUAACUCUGUGCCAGCAGCCGCGGUAAUACAGAGGGUGCGAGCGUUGUUCGGAAUUAUUGGGCGUAAAGCGCUUGUAGGCGGCUCUUUAAGUCUCGUGUGAAAGCUCCAGGCUCAACCUGGAAAGUGCGCGAGAAACUGGAGAGAUUGAGUGUCGGAGAGGGUGGCGGAAUUCCCGGUGUAGAGGUGAAAUUCGUAGAUAUCGGGAGGAACACCAGAGGCGAAGGCGGCCACCUGGACGAGCACUGACGCUGAGAAGCGAAAGCGUGGGGAGCAAACAGGAUUAGAUACCCCCGUAGUCC
rnacentral:rRNA from 1 species